UACGUAGGGGGCUAGCGUUGUCCGGAAUCAUUGGGCGUAAAGCGCGCGUAGGCGGCCAGAUAAGUCCGGUGUGAAAGUCACAGGCUCAACCUGUGAAUGCCGCUGGAAACUGUCUGGCUAGAGUCCGGAAGGGGGCGAGUGGAAUUCCUGGUGUAGCGGUGAAAUGCGCAGAUAUCAGGAGGAACACCAGCGGCGAAGGCGGCGCUCUGGGCCGGUACUGACGCUGAGGAGCGAAAGCGUGGGUAGCAAACAGGA
rnacentral:rRNA from 1 species